rnacentral:rRNA from 1 species
AUUGAACGCUGGCGGCAGGCUUAACACAUGCACGUCGAGCGAGCGGCGGACGGGUGAGUAAUGUCUGGGAAACUGCCUGAUGGAGGGGGAUAACUACUGGACACGGUAGCUACUACCGCAUACCAUCAGAUGUGCCAAGAUGGGCGUAGCUAGUAGGUGGGGUAAUGGCUCACCUAGGCGACGAUCCCUAGCUGGUCUGAGAAGAUGACCAGCCAAACUGGAACUGAGACCCGGUCCAGACUCCUACGGGAGGCAGCAGUGGGGAAUAUUGCAAAAGGGGCGCAAGCCUGAUGCAGCCAUGCCGCGUGUGUGAAGAAGGCCUUCGGGUUGUAAAGCACUUUCAGCGAGGAGGCGUUACUCGCAGAAGAAGCACCGGCUAACUCCGUGCCAGCAGCCGCGGUAAUAC